CAGGCCUAACACAUGCAAGUCGAGCGGAAACGAUCCUAGCUUGCUAGGAGGCGUCGAGCGGCGGACGGGUGAGUAACACGUGAGAAUCUGCCCAUUAGAGGGGGAUAACCUGGGGAAACCCAGGCUAAUACCGCAUAAUCCCUACGGGGGAAAGCAGGGGAUCUUCGGACCUUGUGCUGAUGGAUGAGCUCGCGUCGGAUUAGCUUGUUGGUGAGGUAAUGGCUCACCAAGGCGACGAUCCGUAGCUGGUCUUAGAGGAUGAUCAGCCACACCGGGACUGAGACACGGCCCGGACUCCUACGGGAGGCAGCAGUGGGGAAUCUUGGACAAUGGGGGAAACCCUGAUCCAGCCAUGCCGCGUGUGUGAAGAAGGCUUUCGGGUUGUAAAGCACUUUCAGUGAGGAGGAAGGCCUUGUCGCUAAUAUUGGCAAGGAUUGACGUUACUCACAGAAGAAGCACCGG
rnacentral:rRNA from 1 species